UACGUAGGGUGCAAGCGUUGUCCGGAAUUAUUGGGCGUAAAGAGCUCGUAGGCGGUCUGUCGCGUCUGCUGUGAAAACUCAGGGCUUAACCCUGAGCUUGCAGUGGGUACGGGCAGACUAGAGUGCGGUAGGGGAGGCUGGAAUUCCGUGGUGAUAGCGGUGAAAUGCGUAGAUAUCUGGAGGAACACCGGUGGCGAAGGCGGCAUCCUGGACCAACACUGACGCUGAGUGAGCGAAAGCCAAGGGGAGCAAACGGG
rnacentral:rRNA from 1 species